UUUACUUUUGGCCAAGGAAAUUGUCCCUUUAAGCUAUGGGAAUGAAUUGUCUCUUUUUAACUGCAUUUUCUCCCUGCAGUACAUAAUCACUGUCUGUCACACUUUGAUGUCAUAAUCAUCGGCUGAAGCUCCACCGUUAAAGAGUAAAUCUGCUUAACUCAGCAGUAUUAUGUCACUUUGGUAUUACGGGUGCCAUUUCAAAAGCCAAAAGCCUAUUUUUUAAAAUAUAUCUUAAUCAUUUCAAAUAGAAACA
rnacentral:lncRNA from 1 species